rnacentral:rRNA from 1 species
AGCAGCCGCGGUAAUUCCAGCUCCAAUAGCGUAUAUUAAAGUUGUUGCAGUUAAAAAGCUCGUAGUUGAAUUUCGGGACCAAUCUGCCGGUCGUGCCUCCGGUACGCACUGGUUUUAUUGGUUUCUCCCUUCUGACGAACCAUGAUGUCAUUAAUUUGGUGUCAUGGGGAAUCAGGACUGUUACUUUGAAAAAAUUAGAGUGUUUAUAGCAGGCUCACGCUUGAAUACAUUAGCAUGGAAUAAUGAAAUAGGACGUUUGACCCUAUUUUGUUGGUUUCUAGGAUCGACGUAAUGAUUAAUAGGGAUAGUUGGGGGCAUUAGUAUUCAAUUGUCAGAGGUGAAAUUCUUGGAUUUAUUGAAGACUAACUACUGCGAAAGCAUUUGCCAAGGAUGUUUUCAUUAAUCAAGAACGAAAGUUAGGGGAUCGAAGACGAUCAGAUACCGUCGUAGUCUUAACCAUAAACUAUGCCGACUAGGGAUCGGAUGAUGUUAAUUUUUUUAAUGACUCAUUCGGCGCCUU